GAGGGUAUAGUUUAGUGGUAAAGUGAAUGCUUAGCAUGCACAAGAUCCUGGGUUCAAUCCCCAGUGCCUCCA
rnacentral:tRNA from 1 species